UAAAUACACACAGUUACAUUCACUAGCUAGAGUAAAUACAUACAGUUACAUUCACUAGCUAGAGUAAAUACAUACAGUUACAUUCACUAGCUAGAGUAAAUACACACAGUUACAUUCACUAGGUAGAGUAAAUACACACAGUUACAUUCACUAGGUAGAGUAAAUACACACAGUUACAUUAACUAGCUAGAGUAAAUACAUUCAGUUACAUUCACUAGGUAGAGUAAAUACACACAGUUACAUUCACUAGCUAGAGUAAAUACAUUCAGUUACAUUCACUAGCUAGAGUAAAUCAAUUCAGUUACAUUCACUAGGUAGAGUAAAUACAUUCAGUUACAUUCACUAGCUAGAGUAAAUACAUUCAGUUACAUUCACUAGCUAGAGUAAAUACACACAGUUACAUCACUAGCUAGAGUAAAUACAUUCAGUUACAUUCACUAGCUAGAGUAAAUACACACAGUUACAUUCACUAGCUAGAGUAAAUACAUACAGUUACAUUCACUAGGUAGAGUAAAUACACACAGUUACAUUCACUAGCUAGAGUAAAUACACACAGUUACAUUCACUAGCUAAAGUAAAUACAUAGUUACAUUCACUAGCUAGAGUAAAUACAUAGUUACAUUCACUAGCUAGAGUAAAUACAUACAGUUACAUUCACUAGGUAGAGUAAAUACACACAGUUACAUUCACUAGCUAAAGUAAAUACACACAGUUACAUCACUAGCUAGAGUAAAUACACACAGUUACAUUCAACAGCAUCGACACAAAAACAUGAGGAAACACUAUCAAACAAAAAUAGUAUUUUUCUAUUGCUUGGUCACGCCCACACCUAUGCUCCUCCAAUGGUGGGCCUCCACAGUAAGUGGGUGAGGUUUAUCCACUUUCACUUCUUGUAUUUCGCCCAAUCAGAGCUCAGCUUGGGAGGUAACGGCGAGAGCUUAUAUUUUUAACUUCUUCUAUCUCUAGUCGGUUAAGGUUAAGUUAAAAAAAUAAAAUGUUCUUUUAAAGAUCUUAUAACAUUUAUUACAGUCUAAAGUAGGCAAAUUAGAAGGUUAUAAAAACAUUAAAAAACAAAAAACACUAUUUUAUUACAACACUAAAGAGAAUGUUGCCACUGCUGCUUUUAAAGUCUGAGGUGCUGUUUGUUUGUUCAUUUUGUCUCGGGAGAAGGUGUGCCAUGUUUCUGUCCACUUCCGGGUAUUCAAUCAUAAUGCAUUCCGGUUUGAACCGCACAGAAUGUCAACAAUCUUCCUAACUGCUUCCUAAAGCCCAUUUAGGGACGGGUGAUAUAAAUUAACACCAGCUAUCCACAUUGAUUAAAUUGCUGGUUUAUUCAAUAGGUCAACGAAAUGCACUGCAAUUGAAUUCCUGCCUCUAUCUCUCUCCUGCUGUGGCUGGCUGUCUUUGUGGGAUGUUGAGACUGGCUUCAGUUUGCUGACUAGAUAUUUGUUUUUCUUCUGUAGUUUAGUUUUGCUAUCUGAAGUUGUAAAAUGUUCUGAUGUAUUUGGGGUUUUCUGUUAUUGUUUUUGACUUCAUCUGAAAUGACACCCUAUCAGGACUCUGGCCAAAAGUAGUACACUAUAAAGGGAAUAGGGUGCCAUUUUGAAUGCUGGCCCUAUGUGUGUUUCUGCUCCUGAGUGCACUUGUUUAAUCUGAGUUGUCGAUAUCGCCUCCAUGCAACAAUGAAACAUUAUUUAUUGCAAAUAA